CCUACGGGUGGCUGCAGUGAGGAAUAUUGGUCAAUGGGCGGGAGCCUGAACCAGCCAAGUAGCGUGCAGGAUGACGGCCCUACGGGUUGUAAACUGCUUUUAUACGGGAAUAAAACACCUUACGUGUAGGGCUUUGCAUGUACCGGAUGAAUAAGCACCGGCUAAUUCCGUGCCAGCAGCCGCGGUAAUACGGAAGGUGCGGGCGUUAUCCGGAUUUAUUGGGUUUAAAGGGGGCGUAGGCCGCAAGUUAAGCGUGCUGUUAAAUUUACGGGCUCAACCCGGUCCUUGCCGCGCUAACUGGUGUGCUUGAGUCAGCGGAAAGUAGGCGGAAUGCGUGGUGUAGCGGUGAAAUGCUUAGA
rnacentral:rRNA from 1 species